rnacentral:rRNA from 1 species
CUCGUAGGCGGCCAACUAAGUCCGACGUGAAAUCCCCAGGCUUAACCUGGGAACUGCGUCGGAUACUGGAUGGCUUGAAUUCGGGAGAGGGAUGCAGAAUUCCAGGUGUAGCGGUGAAAUGCGUAGAUAUCUGGAGGAAUACCGGUGGCGAAGGCGGCAUCCUGGACCGACAUUGACGCUCAUGAGCGAAAGCUAGGGGAGCAAACG